rnacentral:rRNA from 1 species
GAUAAACGCUGGCGGCACACAUAAGACAUGCAAGUCGAACGAACUUAACCUUAAUAUUUAUAUUGAGGAGCGGUUAGUGGCGGACUGGUGAGUAACACGUAAGCAAUCUACCUAUUAGAGGGGAAUAACAGUGAGAAAUCAUUGCUAAUACCACAUAUGCUCACACCAUCACAUGAUGGAGUGAGGAAAGGAGAAAUCCGCUAAUAGAUGAGCUUGCGCCUGAUUAGUGAGUUGGUGGGGUAAUGGCCUACCAAGACGACGAUCAGUAGCCGGACUGAGAGGUUGAACGGCCACAUUGGGACUGAGAUACGGCCCAGACUCCUACGGGAGGCAGCAGUCGGGAAUAUUGCACAAUGGGGGAAACCCUGAUGCAGCAACGCCGCGUGAAGGAAGAAGGUUCUCGGAUCGUAAACUUCUAUCAACGGGGAAGAAAAGAAUGACGGUACCCGAGUAAGAAGCCCCGGCUAACUACGUGCCAGCAGCCGCCGUAA